UGGAGAUAUUUGGAGAAGAUGCCAUCGUGU
rnacentral:piRNA from 1 species